GGCUCUGUAGCUCAGUGGUAGAGCAAGGUCUUCAUAAGGCCGAGGUCGGAAGUUCGAAUCUUCCCGGAGCCA
rnacentral:tRNA from 1 species